GAGAUGAUAGCACCUUCCUUAGUCUCCACAGAGGAGGCUCUGGCACCGACUUCCCCACCCACUCUUCCAGGAAGCCUGCCUGGAUUGUUCCCUCCUUCAGCCCGGUUGAACCUGUCCAGUUCCUAAGUACACUGGCUCUCUUAGGCCCACUCUGCCCUCAUUUGACACAUCCUGCCAGGGAGGAGUUAGGCAGACAAGAGGGAGCGAUGGCAGCCUGAUGAACUCACUCUCGAUAACAUGUUCCGCCUCCAGGAAGCCCCCUGUGAUGGUUAAUUUUGUGUGUGAGCUUGGCUAGGUCAUGGUGUCCAGUUGUUUGCUCAAACUCUAGUCUAGUUGCUAUUACGAAGUAGUUUCAAAAAUCAAACCAAACCAGUUGCCGUCCAGUCAAUUCCAACUCAUGACGACUCUGUGUACGUCAGAGUAGAACUGUGCUUUGCAGGAGUUUCAAUGGCUUGCUUUUUCGAAGCAGAUCACCAGGUCUUUCUUCAGAGGAGUUUCUGGGUGAAUUCUAACCCCCAGUUAGUAGCUGAGCACUUAAAGGUUUGUGCCACCCAGGGACUCCUAUGAAGUAGUUACACAUGAUUAAGUCAGUUGGCCUCAAGGAAAGCAGAUCACACUUCAUAAUGUGGGCGGGCCUCAACCAAUCAGCUGAAGGCCUUAAGAGCAAAAAGGGAGUUUUCCCAGAAACUGGGUGUGUUCUGCCUCCAGACUAUAAAUAGACAUUUUGCCAGAACUUUCCCAAUCUUCACAAUUUCUGCUGCCUAAUCUGUGGAUUUUGGGAAGCGAGCCUGAGCUAUUUAUAGAUUUUGGCUGUGUCAGCCCCCAACAAUUGCGUGAGCUAAUUCUUUAAAAUCUCUCUCUCUCUCCUGUUGUUGUCAAGUCAAUUUCAACUCAUAGAGACCCCACAUGUUACAGAGGAGAACUGCUCCAUAGGGUUUUCUUGUCUUCAGUCUUUACAAGAGCAGAUUGCCAGGUCUUUCUUCUGUGGUGCUGCUGGGUGGGUUCAAACUGCCAACCUUUAGGUUGGUAUUCAAGUGUAAACCAGUUGCACAACUCAGGGACCUUCUUUCUCUCUUUCUAAACAUAUGUAUUUUAAAACUGGUUCUGUUUCUCUAGAGAACCCUGACUAAGACACCCAUCUACUCCCAGACCAGGAACUCCUUCCUGGGAGGCAGGGACUGGGCUGAGUCUUUUCUGAGCCCCAGGAGAAGGGUCUGUCCAGUGGACAAGGGAUAAGGGCAAAGAAGGAAACCCAGCAUCAGAGGAAAACCCCAAGAGCAAAGGAUGCUGGGAACUGAAGUCAAGCCUUCAAAGAUGAUUGGUAUUUGCCAGGAUUACCCAAGGGCAGGAAGGUGGGUGCUCUGGGCAGAGGUGACACAGGCGGGGCCCAGAUGGCUGGGGCCAGUCACAGAGAGCCUGGGGGACUGGCUGAGGAGCCAGUUCUCCUGGGGCCACAGGGGAGCCAUGGCAAGUUCUUCAGCAGGGGUGGUACAAGGUCAGAUUCUGGAUUUAGAAAGAGCAUGCUCACAGCCAGAAAGAAGUUCUCUGAAGAAUGCCCGCAGACAUUAAAUGAGCUCAGCCUUUGUCGUGGGACAGACCUGGGUUCAAAUCCUGCCUGGACACCCUGGAGCUGUUACCCUAACACUUCCUUGAGCCUCAAUGGCCUCAUCUGUCGAAUGGAAGAAGCAGCCAGUCUUAGUUUUCUUGUGCUACUGUGGCAGAAAUAGCACAAGGGGGUGGCUUUAAUGAUGAGAAAGUUAUUUUGUGGUGCUUUGUUACAGCUGCCCGAGGACUCCUACAGUAGGUUCUCAUCAGCCUCAUUUCUGGUCUUGAGCUCCUUAGGCCAGAGGCUCAGGUAGGGUCUGGUGAAGAAGGUGUCAGGGAUCAUUUGUUGAAUGGAUGAGGGAGUGAACAAACGAAUGAAGAUGAGGUCAGCCAGGGCCAGGUCCUGAAGAGCUUUGAAUGCAAAGCAAAGGAAUCUGGACUUGAUCAUACAGCCUAUGAGCUUAGACUGCCAAAAGAACGAACAAGUCAGUCUUAGAAGAACUAAGUGAGGAUGACAAGACCUCAGCUUGCUUACUUUGGACACGUCAUCAGGAAAGACCAAUCGUUAGAAAAGGACAUUGUGUUUGGUAAGGUGGAGGGUCAAUGAAAGCGAGGGAGGCCCUCCAUGAGGUGGAUUGACGCCAUAGCCAAAACAAUGGACUCAAGCAUGCCAACUGUCUUAGUUAUCUAGCGCUGCUGUAAUAGAAAAACCACACACGUGUGGUUUUAAAGACUGGAAAUUAAUUUUCUCACAGUUCAAGAGUCUAGGAGUCUGAAUUCAGGGCACCAAUCUAGGGGAAGACUCUGUCAGCUCUGGAGGAAGGUCCUUGUCUCAACUUCUGCAGCCCUGGUGUUCUUUGGUUCCCUGGCGAUCUCCACAUGGCACCUAUCUUUCUCCCACGUGUGCUCUCUUCUCUCUGUGUCUGAUCUACUCUUUUUAUGUCUCCAAAGUCAUUAGGUUUAAGACACACCCUCUACUGCUAUGGCCUCAUAAUGUAACAAAGAAAACUCUAUUCCCAAAUGGGAUUAUAUCUACAGCUUUGUUGUUCGGUGCGUUGGAGUCAAUUUCUACUCAUAGCGACCCCUUGUGACAGAGUGGAACUGCCCCAUAGUGUUUUCUAGCUGUAGUCUUUACACAAGGAGCCCUGGUUGCACAGUGGUUAAGCGCUUGGCUGCUAACCGAAAGGUCUGAGGUUCAAACCCACCAGAUGUUCUGUGGGAGAAAGAUGUGGCAGUCUACUUCUGUAAAGAUGGCAGCCUUGGAAACCCUAUGGGCAUUCUACUCUGCCCUACGGGGUCGCUAAGAGUCGGAAUCGACUCAGUGGCAACGGGUUUGGUUUCUGGCAUCUUUACGGGAGCGGAUCACUGGGUCUUUCCUCCAGCAGAGCCGCUGGAUGAGUUCGAAAUGCCAGCCUUUCAGUCAGCAGCUGAGCGCUUAACCAUUGAACCACCACGGCUGCUUUCUACAGGUACAGGGGUUAGGAUUCUAACACAUGUAUCUGGGGGACACAGCUCAAUCCAUAACACCGAUGAUCACGAAGGUGGCACAGGACCGGGCAGUGUUUUGUUCUGUUGUACAUAAGCUGGACAGUGAGUAAGGAAGACUGGAGAAGAAUUGACUGACACCUUUGAAUUGUGAUGUUGGCGAGGAAUAUUGAAUAUGCCAUGGAUUGCCAAAAGAACGAAUAAAUAUGUCUUGGAAGAAGUACAACUAGAAUGCUCCUGAGAAGCAAGGAUGGUGAGACUUUGUCUCAUGUACUUUGGACAUGUUAUCAGGAGGGAUCAGUCCCUGGAGCAGGACUUCAGGCUUGGUAAAGUAGAGGGCCAGCAAAAAAAGAGGAAGACCCUCAAUGAGAUGGAUUGACGCAGUGGCUGCAACAAUGGGCUCAAGCAUAACAAUGAUUGUGAGGAUGGCACAGGACCAGGCAGUGUUUUGUUCUGUUGUACAUAGAGUCAUGUGAGUCAGAACACAACAAUAUAAGGUUGCCACGGAGUUGGAACCAACUCCGUGGCAACUAACGGCAACAUGAGCCUAGAGCAGGGGAAUAUGGCUGACUCCUGUUCUCUCCAACGAUCCUUCUGGACAUCUUGGUGGUAGAGAGGGAGGCUGGGAAGCUGAAGGGGAGGCAGCUGUAGUUGUUUGGAAGACAGGUAAAGAGAGGAGUGGGUGGGAGGGGGAAGGAGGAGGUAAAGAGAUCAGGACAUGGUUUGGGUUCAAAGGUCGGGUGAGGGGGAGGAGGGUGGUGGUGACUGGGGUCACAAGAUGGUGACUGGCAGGAGGAGUAGGUUGAGGGGUAGGUGAUGAGCUCCGUUGGGGACACUUUGCAUCUGUGGUCCUGGGGAACAUUCUGGGGAGGCCCUCAGGAGGCCAGAGAGGGCUGGGCUGGAGCAGAGGUGUGGGGAUCAGAGCUUGGAGCGGGAGAAGGUGAGGUGACAUAACCCAGUGGUUCUCAGUAGGGGGUACUGCUCCCCCAGGGACAGAAUUGUGGGAGCAUUUUUGGUUGUCAUAGUGAUGGGGUCAUGAACGGCAUGUAGUAGGUGGCGGACCAGGGGUGUCAAAUUCACACACAAAUUAUCCUGUCUGGCAGUCCCCCAGUGCAACACAUCAGAUGUUCAUGUAGGUUACAAACCCAUUUAUAAUCAUUGGGACCUUUUUCCAUUUUACAUAUAAGCAGAAAAUAAAAUUUUUUGCACAGCUGAUUGUUGUUAGUUGUCUUCCAGUUGGUUCCAACUCAUGGCAACUUUAUGUAUAAAACAAUGAAAUGUUGACCAGUCUUGUGCCAUCUUCAUGAUCAUUGGUAUGUUUGAGCCCAUUGUUGUCAACCCAUCUCAUGGAGGGUUUCCUUCAUUUUUGGUGACCUUCCACUUUACCAAACAUAGCAUCCUUUUCUAUUGGUCUUUCCUGAUGACAUGUCCAAAGUAAGUGAGUCCAAGUCUUGCCUUCUUCGCUUCUAAGGAACAUUCUGGUUGUAUUUCUUCCAAGACUGAUUCAUUUGUUUUUCUGGCAGUCCACCAUAUAUUCCAUAUUCUUCGCUAACACCACAAUUUGAAUGCAUCAAUUCUGUUUUCCUUUUUCACUGUCCAGCUUUCGCAUGCAUAUGAGGUGAUCAAAGACCAUGGCUUGGGUCAGUCAGGAGCCCCUUAGUCAUCAAACAUGAUUGAUACCCACUGAUUUUUCCAGGUAUACAGCUCCCAUGUAUGGAGGGAGAUUUCGAUUUUGUUCAGAUGUCACUAAGACUUGCUCCACAUUUUGGAAGUGCUUGUGGUAUGACAGUGGCCAACACCACACUCAGCACUGACACACCUGUAGGCAGAUGUGAACACCUGGGUGCUAAAGUGCUGCCUGGGUGUUUUUCGGCCAGUGGCCUGAGCACGUUCAUAUUUGCACACGUGUUAUUAUAAGUGAUGUUUUCCUGUGCGUUAAAGGAUGUCGCAUUCUUUGUGAAGUGGUGGGAAUCAUUGUCUUCCAAUAUUAGUGAAUUUCAUUUCAGGAUCAUGAAGGGGGGUCUUACGAGAUGUUUGUGACAGGAAGCAGGUGCUGGGAUCAAGGUACCAUGAACCCCGGGAUAGGGUGAGAUGGUCAGGGGCAAACAUGAGGUCGUGGGGGCACUUAGUGUGCAGGGCUUGGAGAGUGGAGAUGGUGUGCAUGGCCUGGGAGGAUGGAGACAACCAGGACAAGGGGAGGCCCAGAUGUGGAAAAACAAGGAGCCACCUUCCACCUGCUGAAGAGAGCCUGAGCUCACUGGGGACCAAGCGGGACCCAGGGAGGGUGCUGGUGACCUUGGGGUCAGCAAUCAGAUAGGAGGCAGGAAGUGUAAUGGUGGAUACAUACUUAUAGAUAGAUACGUAGCAGUAGAUACAUACGGUAGAUACAUAAUAAUACAUACAUACAUACAUACGGUAGGUAGGGGGUAUACCAGAUUGAAUUGUGUCCCCUCAAAAGAUAUGUUCAAGUCAUAGCCAGUGACGUCACUAGGGGGAUGGGGGACGGGGGACAGGGUGUGGAUUGCACCGGGUGAUGCUGUCAAAGGAGGUAACACCAAAUGACUGUCUAUAAAAUUUUUGUGCAGUGUUUCAGGAGAAAUUUAUUAUAAAAAUGUCCCUGUAGUUAGUUAUAACAACAAAAGCAGUUUUCAUAAGCCCAGUUUAAGUGUAUCAAUAUACCUACAAGGCUAAAACUCUAUGCUAAUUUACUUUUUGAACCUUCUAAUGCGCUUCGGUCAGAGCCGUGAUUAUUGCCCAAUUACAAUGACGCUUUGGGUCAUGUGGUUUCCUCCGCACACGUUACAAGCACAUGCUGUUGUUUUCAUCGCAGCUGGUGUUUUUACGGCACCUGAUUUUGUCAGAUUUCCUCGUGUCUUAGCUACAACACUGUGGUAGUUAGUAUUUGUGACUCUAUAUCAAUAACUUUUUGAGAAUGAAGUAAUAAUUAGAUGAAAAGGAGAGAAAUCAAAAAAAGGCUUCUGCUCAGUUACUAAUGAUGUAAUUAAUAAAGUUGUCAUUCAAUGUAGAAAGAUUUUAGAGAAGAAUUUUGUUGUUGGUAUUCAUAUCAUCUAAGAAGUAUUACAUUUAAGCAAUCUACCACUACUUCACAUAUUUUUCUAUGAUUAAAAUUGAUAAUAAACAUUUCUAAGGAUUCUGUAUGGUCUGGCAUGGGAGGAGGUCCAUGGGGGAGACGGUGACACCAUUAGUUAGUGCGUUGGGUGGCACCAGCCUUAGUGACGCCACUGAUCACAACUCCUGGUACCUGUGAAUGUGACCGUGUUUGGAAAUAGGGUCUUUGAAGAUGCUGUCAGUUAACAUGAAGUCAUACUGGAGUGAGUUGAGUCUGUGUAGUGGGUGUCCUUAUAAAAGAGAAGACAUAGAGAGACAUGGAGGGAGGACAGCCCUGUGAGGAUGCACCUACAAACCAAGGAUGACCAGCUGUCACCAGAAGGGAGAAGAGGGGCAUGGAACAUUCUCCCGGAGCCCUCAGGAAGAAUCAACACGGCCGACACCCCGGUCUUGGAUGCCCAGCCUCUGGGGCUGUGAGACGAUACAUAUCUGUUCUUAGAAUUCACCUACUUUGUGGCACUUUGUUCCGGCAGCCCCAGGAGGCUCAUACAGGAGUGAGGACGACUCUGGGAGAACCUGUCUGCAAAGGGGAAGAGGGAAAGCAGCUGGGGGAGGAUGGGGCAGGGGAGGGUAUGUUUCCUCUUUUCACAAUGAGGAGACCAGAGAGCGUCAAAGACACAGUGAGAUUCAAGAGAGAAGGGGUGUCAUUUAGGGGCCGGGUGGGGCAGGACAGGGUCUGCCCCGAGCCUGGCCUGUGAGGAGGAGGUGGCACAGCUGUGUAGGUGGGUGAGGUGUCAGGAAGUGGAUUCUCUCUCUGAAAGGCUAGAGGGGUAUGGCCUUGGAUCGUAACUAUGGUAACUAAUAACAACAACAGUUAUAGCUAACACCUGUUGUUAGUUGCCAUCGAGUUGGCUCCGAUUCAUGGUAUCCCCAUAUACAAUAGAACAAAAUGUUGCCUGGACCUGCACCAUCUUCACAAUUGUUGGAAUGCUUGAGUCCAUUGUUGUGGCCAUUGUGUAUUUUGAGAGCCUUCCAACUUAGGGGCUCAUCUUCCAGCAUUAUAUUGGACAAUUUGUUGUGAUCUAUAGGAUUUUCAUUGGCUGAUUUUCAGAAGUCAAUUGCCAGGCCUUUCUUCCUAGUCUGUCUUAGUUUGGAAGCUCUGCUGAAACCUGUCUACCGUGGGUGACUCUGCUGGUAUUUGAAAUACUGGUGGCAUAGCUUCCAGCAUCGCAGCAACAUGCAAGCCACCACAGUAUGACAGACAGACAGAUGGGUGGUGGAGCUAACACUUCACUAACACUUAUUCUGUGCCAGGUGCUCAUCUAAGCAUUUUACGUGAAUCACCUCAUUUAAUCUCAAUACAAACUGAAGGCAACCAAAGCUGUUGCCUUCAAGUCAACUGCAGCUCCUGCGACCCCAUGUGUUACAGAGUAGAACUGCUCCAUAGAGACUUCUUGGCUAUAAUCUCUACAGAAGCAGAUCGCCAGGCCUUUCUUCUGUGGCAUCGUUGGAUGGGCUCAACCACCAACCUUAAUAGUAGAGCACAAACCAUUUGUACUUCGAGGUUGUUACUAGUAGGUCCAUUUUACAGAGGGAAAAACUACAGAAACUAUGGCACAGAGUGGUUAGGUGUCCUCCCCAAGGUCACACAGUGGGAGCAUGGCCAUGCAGGAAGGGAGGACCAGCCUGAUCUGGGCCAGAGGUGGCUGGGGUUGGGGCAUCAGGUCAUUCCACAACUGGGCGAGAGCAGGACUGGUCCCAUUUAGAGAUUCUCCUUUGGGGUCAGCCCUGUCUCAUGUUCCUGCUUGCCUUAGUCCAAGGGGGAGCCCAAGGCCACUUCCCUUCCCUGGGGUCAGAGUCCCCACCACCUGGCUCUCCUGGCCCUGAGGGCUCAGUCCCUCCUCCUGUUCCUUCCCUCCCUAUCAAUCCUGCCCCAGGUCCCUGGGCCCCCCAGAUCCACUCCUAGCUCCAUCUGGUCAAAUUGGUCUGAAGCGUUUGCUGUGGAGGGACAGACAGUUUCGCUCAAGUGGGUGCUGUGUGUGGGAGGACAGUGUCAUAGACUGAAUUACGUCCCCCCAAGAAUGUGUGUAUCAAUUUGGCUGGGCCAUGAUUCCCAGUAUUGUGUGGUUGUCCUCCAUUUUGUGGUUGUAAUUUUAUGUUAAAGAGGGUUAGGGUGGGAUUAUAACACCCUUACUAAGGUCACAUCCCUGAUCCAAUGUAAAGGGAGUUUCCCUGGGGUGUGGCCUGCCCCACCUUUUAUUUUACAAGAGAUAAAAGGAAAGGGAAGCAAGCAGAGAAUUGGGGACCUCGUACCAUCAAGAAAGAAGCACCGGGAGCGGAGCACAUCCCUUGGACCUGGGGUUCCUGCGCAGAGCAGCUCCUAGUCCAGGGGAAGAUUGACAAGAAGGACCUUCCUCCAGAGCUGACAGAGGAAGAAAGCCUUCACCUGGCGUUAAUGCACUGAAUUUGGACUUGUAGCUUACUAGACUGUGAGAAAAUAAAUUUCUCUUUGUUAAAGCCAUCUGCUUGUGGUACUUCUGUUAUAGCAGCACUAGAUGACUAAGACAGACAGUCAAGAAUUUUGAGUAUGACAGCUGACCAACUGUGUGUCUGUGGGGAAGCCACUUUUCCUCUCCAAGCCUCAGUAUCUCCACCCGUAAAAUGUAUUCAUUAAUGGACCUACUCCACGAGGCAGUGGUGGCUCAGUGGUAGAACUCUCCGCUUUCAUGCAGAAGGCCUAGGUUCGAUUCCCAGCUGAUGCUGUUCAAACGCCGCCAUCACCCGUCUGUCAGUGGAGGCUCGCGUGUGGUUCUGGUGUUAGUGGAGCUUCCAGACUAAGAGAGACUAGGAAGAAAGGCCUGGUGGGUGACUUCCGAAAAUCAGCCAGAGAAAAACCUAUGCAUCACAGAGAUCUGAUCCAUAGCCGGUCAUGGGGAUGGUGCAGGACCAGGCAGUGUUUUGCCCCAUCGUGCAAGGGGUUGCUAAGAGUUGGGGGCUGACUCGAUGGCAACUAACAACAACAACAACGUGGGUCAUUGAGAAUAUUAAAUGAGCUGAUCAGGGAAAGGGGGAACCAAGGUAACUCAGGAAAUGGUAGCUGAUGACCCUGAGGGAGUUUAAAUGAAGUGAUCAGAGUGUGAUACAGGGUUCGGAUCUAUGUAUACUUGUUGAGUGAAUGAAUGAAGUACAUUGGGAUGAGACACCCCCCGCCCUGUCUCACAGGCAUCCCUCUGUGGCCCCAAGUCUACAUGGGUCAAAUUGAAACCAUUUGUUCCUAAGUCUGUUUCUUGGGGUUGGGAGUGCAAUGAAGAGGCUGUGGCCACAGUUGACCACAAGCUGAGUGUGACUCAACCUGCUGGGGCUCUUGUGAAAGAUAGUCAGGGGCUCGAGGUGGCUGGGGUAGGAGGAAGGAGGUAGCUUCUUCCUUCAGCUCUUCAGAGAGUUCCCCCAUCCCAAGGUGGAGGGCAGGGGCAGGGGCUUCCCUGGCACCAAGGGCACUUCCUAAGCCCUGACUGCAUGGGGGCGGGUGGGGAGAGGUAAAGACGUGGACCAGGUCUAGACCCUGCUCUUGGGGAGUUCAGUGCACCUUGAGAGCUGGGUCCAUGCCAGAGGGCGCUAAGAAGAGGGCCAGGGACCUCGUGGGGCUGCUGUGAAGACUCAGCGUGGUAAUGCCAAGUGUCAAUGUCAGCUCUCCUCCCCAUCACUGCCAGCAGCAGCAGCAGCAGCAGCCCCUCUUCUGUCCACCCCGGACCAUGCGGCCACCCCACAGCCUUCCUGCUUUAUGUCUGAGCCUGAAAAACAGCCACCAUCACCAUCACGGCACCACCACCACCGACAGCCAACUGCUGUCUCCACCACUUCUUCCCACCAAGGUCAAACAGAAGCUGCAGAGAAGCCCACCAGCCACCAUCAAACUGAAACAACUACCGGUGUCUUCCCUACCAUCACCACCACCAUCAUCACCCAUCACGACCACCAGCAGCAACGCGUAAUAACCAACAACCAUCGACAGUAACCACCACCAACAACGUUAGCUGCCAUGGAGUCAGGCCCCAACUCAUGGUGACCCCAUGCGCAACGGAACGAAAUGAUGCCGGGUCCUGCAUCAUGCCCAUGAUUUGAUCAGACUGUUGUGUUCCACAGGAUUUUCAUUGGCAAGUUUUGGAAGUCGAUGGCCAGGCCUUUCUUCCUAGUCCGUCUUAGUCUGGAAGCUCCAAUGAAACCUGUUCAGCAUCCUAGCAACAGGCAAGCCUCCACUGACAGAUGGGUGGUGGCUUCACGUGAGCUGCCUUGGCUGGGAAUUGAACCUGGGCCACCCAUGUGGAAGAUGCUGCUGGGUCUGGACCCAUGACUGUGACAGUCUCCCCAACACUGUCACCAUCACCAUCACCAUCAGACCUCAACCUCUCCAGGCAGUGACGCUCCUGGCUACAGUUGUCACCGCUGCCAUCCUCCUGGGGACAGUGAUCUGCGGCGGUGCAUACACGCUGUGUCUCCCUGUCUCCUGCCUCUGUGACUGCUCCAGCCACACCAUCCUGUCACGACAUCGCCACCCCACACGCCAUCUGGCAGUUUCCCUUCCCCGCUGUGGCCAAACCCACAGACCCUCCGAACGCUCCAACUGAGAGGCCUCAGAGAGCAUCUUCUACCCCUUGACCAACUUCCAAAUAUGACAGACACAGGAACCAAGGUCCCAACAGGGGAAGUGAUUUGCCUAUGGCCACAGGAGAGGAUGAGGGGCCACAUCAGGCUGGUAACUGGGUCCCCUAGAGCCUCGGAAGGGGGUAUAUCCUCAUCCCUGCAGAUGCUGUGAUACUUCAGGACCAUGGACUCUUCUCCCUUUCAGGUACUACUCUGUCCCUGGUCCCUGUCACUGCUCUGGCAUCCUAGCCACCAUUGGAUGGGAGCUCCAUGAGGGAUGCCAGAGACACCUGAGCUGCACUGACGGGUGAAGGGACCCUCAAGGGUCAGCUGUGCCCCUCCCACUGCCUCACUUUCUGUUGGUGUCUCUAGGCCCGGUGCCCCCCACCCCUGCACUCCUAAGGCCCACCCCUGAAGGACUCACCAUGGUGAGGUUGGCUUCUGGGCCCCUGGAGGACUCCCAAGUAGGUCCUGGCUGGGGUGCAGGCUCAGGGGGCUGUAGGGGGCGGCUGGGGCAUGGCCCUACUCCAGCUCCUUCACCCAACUCCGGGCCCUAGUUCCUCUUACAACAGCCCCCCUCUCACUUCCUUUGGCGGGAGGGGCUGUGGCUGCGGAAGAGGGAAGCUGGAGGCGGGGACAGAGCUGGGGUGCAGUGGUGGUGGGGCUUGGGGGAACUGGCUGUUUAGGGCUCUGGGCCUGAAGGGAGAGGCUGAAGACUGAUAACAGUCACUGCCAGAUCCCAGAAGGCCCCUUCUUCAAUUGCCAGUGGACAGGGCUGCAGCAAGAAGCACUCAGGUCAGCUUGCUGCAGGACCAGAAACUCUUUUCAGGGCAGUUCUGGGAAGCACUUGGGUUGCUCAGGACCCUCAA